rnacentral:misc_RNA from 1 species
GGAUCGGGUCACAGGUCUGUUAAGGUCCUUCAUGUAGGUUAUUGGCUCUGAUACCAAGUUGUUAAGGUCCUUCACGUCGUCCUAUUGUGACUACAGUGAUGAACUCAAUGGAGGAAGCUCACAACCUUAGACUUGUUAGAGAGUCUCAGAUCUUAUAAAAGUUUGAAAUAAGCUGCUUGAUUUUUUAUUGCAUUCAAAUGCUCCUUAAAUAGAGAUUACAUCAGCCUGUUACAACCUCUAAAAUAGGAAUCAUAAAAUCAAGAUUUUUAUGAGAAUGAGA